AGUGAACGCUGGCGGUAGGCCUAACACAUGCAAGUCGAACGGCAGCACAGGAGAGCUUGCUCUCUGGGUGGCGAGUGGCGGACGGGUGAGGAAUACAUCGGAAUCUACUCUGUCGUGGGGGAUAACGUAGGGAAACUUACGCUAAUACCGCAUACGACCUACGGGUGAAAGCAGGGGACCUUCGGGCCUUGCGCGAUUGAAUGAGCCGAUGUCGGAUUAGCUAGUUGGCGGGGGAAAGGCCCACCAAGGCGACGAUCCGUAGCUGGUCUGAGAGGAUGAGCAGCCACACUGGAACUGAGACACGGUCCAGACUCCUACGGGAGGCAGCAGGGGGGAAUAUUGGACAAUGGGCGCAAGCCUGAUCCAGCCAUACCGCGUGGGUGAAGAAGGCCUUCGGGUUGUAAAGCCCUUUUGUUGGGAAAGAAAUCCAGCUGGCUAAUACCCGGUUGGGAUGACGGUACCCAAAGAAUAAGCACCGGCUAACUUCGUGCCAGCCGCCGCCGUAA
rnacentral:rRNA from 1 species